ensembl:lncRNA
CAGCACAUUCGCGCUCAGAAAGAAGCGCGAAUCGUUAAAGCAGACUAACGUGGAAACAGGUGAAGAGACGAAGGUAAGCGAUACGGUUCGUCACUGUGAAAUCCAGCUUCAUGGCUUUAACACUGAACAAAUCCGGUCCGCACAGGCUCAGAGACAGACUUCAUCCUUUUACUUUAACCGUACAUGAAAAAUGAAGCUGAGACAGGAGCUCAGUGUCACAGCUGGAACAACAUCAGCUGACAUUAAAGAAAAGCAGACAUUUGUUCCCUGAUAGCAAAGAUGGAGAUGGAGAGCGUGAGGGAACUACAGAGAGGAGGACACGGGCUGCCCUACAUCAGCAGGAGGGAGGACGACCCCCCAGUGUGAGGACGACCCCCACCACAUGAAUGGGGGACAGGAGGCGCAGCUUCCAGCCCAGCCGUUUCCCAGCAUGCCUCAGCUGUGGAGCUGUAUGAGGGAGAGUUGUUUGUCCUGCUGCCCUGUGAGUUUCCCACUUUUGAACUGGACAGCCCCACAGUGGUGUGGAGUCGCUCCGACCUCAGUCCUCCAACCGUCCACCAGCUUCAAGGAGACAAACUGAAAGAUCCAAACCAGCGUUACAGCGGCCGAACAUCCAUGAAGACUGACGCUCUGGAAACUGGAGAGCUCAGCCUGAACCUGACCAACCUCCAACUGUCUGACAGCGCCACCUACACCUGCUCUGUCAGAUCAUUUAGACUGAGAAUGGAGACUGAGAGAUGUCCCACUGCAGGUCAAAGGUCAACAUCAAACCAAAACUCUGCUGUAGACAAUCACAAAUUGAGAAAUUGAUCUAUAAUGUUGAUGUAAUGUUGGAUCUAAGCUGGGUUUUCUGAGCUUUGGUUCCACAAUGGCAUGUUUAAAAACACUGGGAACACUCCAGUCUGAAGAAAAGCACUGAAAAGAUUUACAACCCAAGGACCAAUAGUGUCAAAGACUUUGCUACAAAGCUUUGAGGGGAGAAUAUCUGAGGGAACUGAAGACGGCUUCUUUUUAUCUACCAGGGUCACCAUAUCAUCAAAUGUCACAGGUGUAAAAGUAGACCAGGAGUGAGAUGCCAGAACAAGAAAGCUUUGGGGAGAUUUGUCAUUGAUUGUUUUGAUCUUAUCAACAGAAAAUCAGACUUUUGUUGCUGUCUGCUUUAUAGGUGAGGCAGCUCGAGACACAACAGUCAAACAAAACUUUUCUGAUAUGAACUGUUAAAUGGGUUCAAAUAUUGAGGGUGAGCACAAAAACAACAAUUGGUCCAGAAGAGUUGGUCAAACAAUGAUUUAAUGAAUACACGCAGUGUGGGAGAUGAACACUGUAAAACAUUCAGCAUCGAUCUCGCCCCAAAAUUACACAUGCAACUGUCUUAUAGCAUCAGGGAAUAUUUUCUGACGCCUCCUCUUACGUCAAACAGAUACAAUACAGACGUAAGUUUCAAACCACAAAUGUUCUGUUGACUUUUGACACAUGGGAAAAGAACAUUUCCUCCGUCUGUAGGCCAGGUGCAUUCUGUUGACGUCUAACUUUUCGCUUAUCUCCUGAAAACAUGAAAAAUUGUGUCUGCCACUCUUACCCAAAACAUGAACUUAACUACUGUGUGUGUGUGUGUGUGUGUGUGUGUGUGUGUGUGUGUGUGUGUGUAUCGACCUCACUCGAACUCUGACUUAUGAAAAGAGAGGCCAAUUCUCAUGUGGAUAAUAACCGAACUGAAAGUAUGUAUGUAAUAGGUUGACUGCACCUGUAAUACAAGUUUUAACGUAAGGCCAACAGCUUCAAUAAAU